UACAGGAGCACCCCAGGCACUAUGAGGAACCCAUGAAUUUCACCAUUUACUCCACGGUCCAGUUCGACCACAGGCCUUCAUCCAUCAAGAGGAAGAGGCUGGACCGAUCUUUGGUCUCCACCGCCUACCUGGAGGAUAAUGGGGGUUACAGGCGCUUGGGGUUCCCAAAUCCCGCCGGCCACCAGCGCCCCUGAAACCCCGGAAUUCCCAUCCCGGUGGAAUUCUCCUCCUGGAAACUCCAACGGCCACCGGGAUCCAUGGAAUGGAAAUAUUGAGAAUUAUCCAGAAAUUUGGGGUUUUCUCCCCAAGAUUCAACCCCCGGCUGCGCCUCGGAGCGAAGAUUUGGGGAUGGAAAAGUCCGGAAGAGAUGGAUUUGGGAUUGGGCAGGCG